CCCUUAGAUGUUUGGGGCCGCACGCGCGCUACACUGAAGGAAUCAGCACGUCUUUCUCCUUGUCCGAAAGGACUGGGUAACCCGCUGAACCUCCUUCGUGCUAGGGAUUGGGGCUUGUAAUUCUUCCCCAUGAACGAGGAAUUCCCAGUAAGCGCGAGUCAUAAGCUCGCGUUGAUUACGUCCCUGCCCUUUGUACACACCGCCCGUCGCUACUACCGAUUGGAUGGUUUAGUGAGAUCCUCGGAUUGGUCCCGGCGCGGCCUCUGGUCGUGCCGGAGUGCCGAAAAGAAUGUCGAACUUGAUCAUCUAGAGGAAGUAAAAGUCGUAACA
rnacentral:rRNA from 1 species